GAGAGGAUGACCAGCCACACUGGAACUGAGACACGGUCCAGACUCCUACGGGAGGCAGCAGUGGGGAAUAUUGCACAAUGGGCGCAAGCCUGAUGCAGCCAUGCCGCGUGUGUGAAGAAGGCCUUCGGGUUGUAAAGCACUUUCAGCGAGGAGGAAGGUGGUGAACUUAAUACGUUCAUCAAUUGACGUUACUCGCAGAAGAAGCACCGGCUAACUCCGUGCCAGCAGCCGCGGUAAUACGGAGGGUGCAAGCGUUAAUCGGAAUUACUGGGCGUAAAGCGCACGCAGGCGGUUUGUUAAGUCAGAUGUGAAAUCCCCGGGCUCAACCUGGGAACUGCAUUUGAAACUGGCAAG
rnacentral:rRNA from 1 species